GCAAUUAACUCUCCAUUAAAAUAUUAGGUAAAUGUCGCUUGAAUCAAAUAGCCUGCAGCAAAAUCUAAACAAGUUUGUAGCUUGAGUCAUUUAGCUUUGCUUUAUUCUAUGUCGUACAGUGACAUGAAGUAAAUAGUAUUUUUUGGAAAUUUGAGACCGAAGGUCGUUUGAGAUAAAUGUGACCUUUAAUUUAAAUAAAAAGCGGUUGCUUAAAUCAGUUUUCCUUUCCUAUAAUGAGCAAGAGAUGUAUGUUAAAGCAAGCAUAUUUUCCUAUGACACCGUAAGUCGAUGUCGUUUAAGACCUACCUAAAUUUCUUAGUGUUACCUUAACACUUCUAGCGAAUAGUAGGCAUGCGCUCACGCGCGGCGCUUCAGUUAGUGCCGAAACGGUCGUGUGCGAUUUUCUGGAGCUGCGCACAGGAAAACUGUUGUAAUAAGAUGGACUCACAAAGAAGCUCGUUUUUUAAAAAAGAAAUCGCAAAUGCGAUAGCAAAAUCGAAAAAAAGAAAGGAGGAGAGUUCACAUGCUUCUGAUGUAACAAUCUUAGGAAGUCAGUCCUACAACAAACAAGAUAAAGACGUAGCCAUAAUACAUUCAAGACAAUAUCUUAAUAAAACUGUAUGCAGAAAGCUCUUUACUCCUGAAGCAAAUUAUGCAACACCGAUUCCUAAGGAACUCGGAAAAAUUAAAGAAAAUGAAGAAAUUGGGAAUAAAAGCUUGAACGCAGAACUUGAUGAUACUAGUAAGCUGAUUUGCUCUGAAGUAGUGAUUGAAACACGAUGUUGAGGUAUGAACAAGAUGUUGAGGUAU